CACACACACACACACACACACACACACAUACACACAGCACGUCUCCGUCCUUCCGAAGAGAGACGACAACUGGCAGGAACUCUUUCUACUCGGAAACCUUACGCCCGCUGUGUUGAUGACACACCGUUAGCAAAAGCCACAGUGGAGGAGGGAAAGAGCUGCAUGUGGCUCCAUAGCCUCAGGUUGGAGAUCUCGGAUCUAGUCUCAAUCCAUUCAUGUCCUGCUGGAUCUGUACACUGCACAAGACCGCUCAGUGUCAUGGCCAUGCCUCAGCCUCACAGGUAAUCUGCCUUAGCAGGAGCUGCCCUGCAGAGCUGUGCCAGAAGAUCUCCUGCCUUUUACGUGACUCCAGCCUGCCAAAGCUGCCGUCCUCUGCGCCCCAUUUUGCCUGCAUGAACUUUGUCAGGAUGGACUUGGACCAACCUGGACUCACCUGAUGAACCAGCACCCAUCCUGCCCACGUCUCUUGUUCUGGCUCCAGUGCAGUGGGACAUCAUGACCCAACUCAGAGACAUUAACGCGGCCUAUCCUCCACCUCCAUCCUGUCCGGCUGAUCGUAUGCUGAUGUGGCGCAGUUCGUCACCGACUGCGGCGUCUGCCAAUCAUCGAAAUCUCCAAGACAACUCCCGGCAGGGCUCCUGCAACCACUUCCUGUGCCCCGACGCCCCUGGACCCAUAUAGCUGUGGACUUUAUCACCGAUCUACCUUCCUCACAAGGUAACACAACCAUUCUAACUGUCAUCGAUUGAUUCUCAAAAUCCUGCUGUCUGCUACCACUCCCCAAGUUACCCACAGCCAUGGAGACCGCAGAGCAGCUACUCCAACAUGUCUUCCGGCACUAUGGACUCCCGGAAGACAUCGUCUCAGACCGGGGACCCCAAUUCACAUCUAGGGUCUGGCAGGCAUUCUGUAAGGGGCUCAACAUCAAUGUCAGCCUCACCUUCGGUUAUCAUCCACAAUCCAACGGCCAGGUGGAACGUCUCAACCAAGAGAUCACCAGGUUCUUCAUAUUGUGGUCAACAUCAGCACGAGUGGAGCAAGUAUCUGGUGUGGGCUGAAUACGCGCAGAACUCCCUCAAGAAGGCAUCCACCGGCCUCACACCAUUCCAGUGUGUCUUGGGCAUCCAGCCUCCCUUCUUCCCCUGGUCUGGAGAACCAUCUAAUCUGCAAGCAGUGAAUGAAAGGUUCAGAGGGUGCAAGGAAACGUGGAGAGCCGCCCAUAUCCAGUUACAGCAUGCUCUUCCACCUGAGUACCGGAUUUCCCCUACGUUCCACAUGUCACUUCUCAAACCCGCCAACGGACCUAGUGACACUACCCCGGACUCGGGCCCCGACGAGUCUCCCCUCAUCAUAGGAGGAGGCAUAUAGAGCCAACGCCAUCCUGGACUCCAGACGUCGUGGGGGACAUCUGCAGUACCUCAUCGACUGGGAGGGUACGGUCCUGAGGAACGUUCCUGGGUUGCAGCCGACGACAUCCUGGACCCAGCUCUCACGGCCUACUUUCACCGGGACCAUCCUGACAGGCCGGCCCCUCGACCACGUGGACGUCCACGGCGUCGUCAGCAUCCUCGCUUCCGGAGCCGGUCGCAGGAGGGGGGCUCUGUCAGGAUUCCCCCAUCAGGCACCACAUCCGACCACCAGAGGGAGCCCUCGCCUGAGUACUGACCCUGCACUCCCUCUCCACUCUCACCUCAUUGCGAAGUUUUGUACUGCCUGGCAUACAUCUCUGAGCGUUUCUCCUUGUUUCUCCUCCUGGUUUUUGAUCUCUGCCUGUCUCCUCGGUUACCUGCCUGCCUCCUGCCUCGACCCACGCCUGGACUCUGACUACGCUUAUGUCUUGCCCUUGUCCAAUAUACCAUAUGCUUAUGGAUCCAAACGUCCCUGCCUCUUCAUCACAAGUACGAAACUAUGACGUCCGACUUAUAACAGCAGCAUUAAAAAGACCUUAUAAAAAUGUAAAUAAAUAUAACUUCCACCAAGUGGGAGGAAACUGCAUUCAGGUCCCGCAGCCUUCGCGGCCCACAGGUUCAGGACAGAAUUUUUUUCGCGGCCCAAUAGGGGGCGCUCGCGGACCAAGAUUGGUUAAGAAUCACUGUUAUAGACCUUACAUGUCUUUAG